ACCUGCUGAAUUUAAGCAUAUUACUAAGCGGAGGAAAAGAAACUAACCAGGAUUCCCUCAGUAACGGCGAGUGAAGCGGGAUCAGCUCAACUUGAAAACCUGCGCCCUUCGGGCGUCGGAUUGUAGCCUGGGUGUGGGCCCUGGAGGUUGCGCCCGGUGUAAUUCGGUAUUGAGAUACCGAGCCGGAGAGGGUAACAGCCCCGUCACGUCGGAACGCACCUUCGCCUGGGCCCCUACCCGUGAGUCGUGUUGCUUGGGACUGCAGCGCUAAUCGGGAGGUAAUGUCCUUCCAAAGCUAAAUAUUUGCGGGAGACCGAUAGCGAACAAGUACCGUGAGGGAAAGAUGAAAAGAACUUUGAAAAGAAAGUGAAAUAGUACGUGAAAUCGUUGGAAGCAAGCGAGCCAGUCUUCCUUCCCGUCGGGGGCCUUGCGCCCCCGCUCGGGGGCACGAUCGUUUCGGGCCCGACCAUACGGACCGCCACCGGCUUCGGCCUCGGCUGGUUCCAAGUCGCGCCCGGGCCGAGGUAUUUCUCGCCGCGCCCUGCGUCUCCGGACGCUGCGUGGCCAGGAUCGUGCCUUGCUACCGGACUGGCCCGACCCGUCUUGAAACACGGACCAAGGAGUCUAACAUGUGUGCGAGUGUUUGGGCGGCAAACCCAGGCGCAUAGAGAAAUCGAGAUUGCCCGAGCCUGUAAAACGGCGCAAGGCAGGCAGCGCGCCAGGCCUCUUGGCCAGUGCCUAGCAAGAGCAUGCAUGCUGGGACCCGAAAGGUGGUGAACUAUGCUUGUGCAGGGUGAAGUCAGGAGAAAUCCUGAUGGAGGCUCGAAGCGAUACUGACGUGCAAAUCGUUCGUUAGACAUGAGUAUAGGGGCGAAAGACUAAUCGAACCACCUAGUUGCUGGUUUCCUCCGAAGUUUCCCCCAGGAUAGCUGGAACCCGUGCGAGUUUUGUCAGGUAAAGCAAUGAUUAGAGGCUUUGGGUUAGAAACUAACUCAUCCUAUUCUCAAACUUUAAAUGGGCAAGAUGCGGUUGCCGCUUAAUUGGGCAGCUGCGUUGAAUCGGGGUUCUUAGUGGGCCAUUUUUGGUAAGCAGAACUGGCGAUGUGGGAUGCUCCAGACGCUCGGUUAAGGGGCCUAAGUGCUCGCUCAUUCAGAUACCAUAAAGGGUGUUGAUUGAUGAAGACAGCAGGACGGUGGUCAUGGAAGUCGAAAUCCGCUAAGGAGUGUGUAACAACUCACCUGCCGAAUCAAUUAGCCCCGAAAAUGGAUGGCGCUCAAGCGAGCCCCCGAAACCGGGCCAUCAGGGCAGAUGCGACGCCCUGAUGAGUAGGAGGACGUGUCGGUUGCUACGAAGGCGCGGGCGCGAGCCCCGCUUUGAGCGGCCCUCAGUGCAGAUCUUGGUGUUAGUAGCAAAUAUUCAAAUGGAAACUUUGAAGACCGAAGUGGAGAAAGGUUUCACGCGAACAUCAUUUGGACGUGAGUGACUCGGUCCUAAGCUAUUCCGUAUGGGAUUCAGAAGGCGCCGCUUGCGGCGCCGUCGGGCGAAAGGGCAACCGGUUUAAAUUCCGGUAGUGCGGACACGGUGUUGAGCGGCGACGCGUUCAAACCGGCUGACCGCGGCGCGGGGUCCGGGAAGAGUUCUCUUUUCUUUUUAACGCGGGCAGCGGAUCCGAAAUGCCUUCACGGCUCGAUGGAUCGGCUCCCGCGGCAAAGCGGAUGACUUCCUCAUCCGUCCGGUGCCCUCGCGACGCGCCUUGAAAAAGCCGGGGCGUACCUAUGCACUCGGUCCCAGCCGUACUCAUAACCGCAUCAGGUCUCCAAGGUUAAAAGCCUCUGGUCAAUAGAACAAUGUAGGUAAGGGAAGUCGGCAAAUUGGUUCCGUAAGUUCGCGAUAUGGAGUGGCUCGUCAGACUGGGCGGUAGAGGCUCGGUCCAUGAAGCGUGCUAGCUGACAGGACUAGCUAGGCCGCCUUCGGGUGCGCCCGGCUGGGCCUGCUUUGUAGGCGUGUGGAGGGAUCGAGACAGCGCGGGGCCUUUCGGGGACCCGUCGCAUUCUCGCCGCGACUAGCAGUCAAUGACGAACUCGUAGUGACCACAGGAACCCGACUGUUUAAUUAAACAAAGCAUUGCGAUGGUCGCAGGUCGAUGGUGACGCAAUGUGAUUUCUGCCCAGUGCUCUGAAUGUCAACGUGAUGUAAUUCAAUUAAGCGCGGGUAAACGGCGGGAGUAACUAUGACUCUCUUAAGGUAGCCAAAUGCCUCGUCAUCUAAUUAGCGACGCGCAUGAAUGGAUCAACGAGGUUCCUACUGUCCCUAUCUACUAUCUAGCGAAACCACAGCCAAGGGAACGGGCUUGGGAGUAACGGCGGGGAAAGAAGACCCUGUUGAGCUUGACUCUAGUCUGACACUGUGAAAUGACCUGGUUGGUGCAGCAUAAGUGGGAGCGUAAGCAACAGUGAGAUACCACUACUUCCAGCGUUGUUUUACUUACUUGGUCGGCAGCCGUGCCAACACUGUUUGGCGUUUCUAGCAUUAAGGGUGGCCUCUGUGCCCCUGAGGCUCGUCGAGGACACUGUCAGGUUGGGAGUUUGGCUGGGGCGGCACAUCUGUUAAACGAUAACACAGGUGACCCAAGAUCAGCUCAGAGCGAACGGAAAUCGCUCGUUGAGUUUAAGGGCAGAAGCUGAUUUGACUUUCUCCUCCAGUACGGGAGGAAGCAGUGAAAGCUCAGGCCUAGCGAUCCUUUCGGUCCUCGGACAUUGAGGCGAGAGGUGCCAGAAAAGUUACCACAGGGAUAGCUGGCUUGUGGCAGCCAAGCGUUCAUAGCGACGUUGCUUUUUGAUUCUUCGAUGUCGGCUCUUCCUACCCCUUUCUCGCACAAGGGAAAAAAGGUAAGAUUGUUCACCUACUAACAGGGAACGUGAGCUGGGUUUAGACCGUCG
rnacentral:rRNA from 1 species